rnacentral:rRNA from 1 species
CCUACGGGAGUCAGCAGUGGGGAAUAUUGGACAAUGGGGGCAACCCUGAUCCAGCCAUGCCGCGUGUGUGAAGAAGGCCCUCGGGUUGUAAAGCACUUUCAGUGAGGAAGAACGCCUGGUGGUUAAUACCCAUCAGGAAAGACAUCACUCACAGAAGAAGCACCGGCUAACUCCGUGCCAGCAGCCGCGGUAAUACGGAGGGUGCGAGCGUUAAUCGGAAUUACUGGGCGUAAAGCGCGCGUAGGUGGCUUGAUAGCCGGUUGUGAAAGCCCCGGGCUCAACCUGGGAACGGCAUCCGGAACUGUCAAGCUAGAGUGCAGGAGAGGAAGGUAGAAUUCCCGGUGUAGCGGUGAAAUGCGUAGAGAUCGGGAGGAAUACCAGUGGCGAAGGCGGCCUUCUGGACUGACACUGACACUGAGGUGCGAAAGCGUGGGUAGCAAACAGGAUUAGAUACCCUAGUAGUC